AGUCACUGACAUAAAGCAAAAAUAGAAAUCUGCUCGAGCCUUGUCUUAAAGUGUUCUAAAAAUGUACGAAUUAGAAAAGGUUUUACUGAUAUUUUACACGCUUCUGGUGACCUUGAACGGUACAGAGUUUAUUCCAUGUCCCUUGUCAUGGUCACCCGGGUACUUCGGGAUGGUGUCAAACAUCCCAUCAAAAUUGGUCAAUACGCAGCUGCAAGAAAAUUUAAAUGGAGAAGAGACUUAUUUGGCAAGGAAGAAAAUUUCAGAAGGCUUUCGGAUUGUUGAAGUUUUCUCAAAUUUUACAAUUGCAAGAAUUGGUGAAUUUGAGGAGGAGAAUGAGGAGGAUUUUGGGUCGGAAAUUUUGACGAAUCCAUUCAACUGUUCCCUGAAAUGGAUCUCUGUUGAAGACAAACUCAUUCCCAUGAAAUACCUCGUGCCCAUCGGAACUGGAAACGAGUUGAUUGGAGGCGUCUUAUCGAACUCUGAAAACAGUUCGGAUACUUUGACUCCUUGUAGUUUAAAGUUUGGCAAGGCAGAGUUGUGUAGCCUAAAUCAAGGAUACCGCAAAGGCGUCACGUGGUCCAAUACAUUCGUCUUAAAGUCAUACACCAAGCUAAGAUUGGAUAUUCACCUGCAAAAUUUUCGCACCUUGAACCAAACGACGGUAAAUUAUGAAACGAACAACGCCGGAUGCGACAUGUUGAGCAACAAGGGGGACGCCGAGAUAUCGAAAACGGUCACCCAUUCGACAGAGACGUCUAACAAGUGGACAAUCACUUUGGAGGGUGGGGUCGCCCUUGGGCUUAAUGGUCAGGUCGAGUUCGAACUAGCCGUUUGGAUUUUAAUCAGUAAACGAUUUUACGGAUCUAUCAGUCUCCAUCUGGCAUUAGACUUGGAAAUCAAUAUUGGCGGGGAUUACUCACAAGAUACGAAGGAUACGGUUAGCACGACGCAAAGGGUAAAUAUUCCACCGGGCAGUGUAGUCGAGGUUUGCUUUUCAUUGGUGAAAAGGAACGUCCAAACAUACUUUGAAGCAGAGGGGGCGAUCGUAACGCAUCCAUUUUUAAAGGCCCCAGAUUUAUUAAAAAUUAUCGAGAGAGAUGCCAGAUUUUCGAAACCUAUCAUUCUCCAUGAAAUGGAUGAGGAGGUAAUAAAAGUUGGAAUGGUGCAUGGCUUCGCGACGGUGACGCAACCUCUGAAUACGAAUUUAGUAGUGGGCCCAAUAAACAAGUUGGAAUUGCAACAAUUAGUUUAAUUGAUGGUGUAAAUUGUCGGCAUUUCUUGGAAUUUUGUAAAAAAAAGUCUAAUACUUAAUUUUUGCGGGAGAUAUAAAUACUUUUAUUUAUUCAUUUAUGAUGUGCAAUGUAUUGAAUUAUCAGUUUUGCACGUAUUAAAUACGUAUUUAAUUAAGAGAUAUGCCGACAUCAAAUUAAUUUAUUUGUGAUAAAUCAGGUUUCGUAUUAUACAUAAAUCAUAAACCUGAAUUCAGUUACGCAGUUGGCAUCCAGUGCUUGGGCACCCAACAAGAAGCAAGAUGACCACCUGCAUGAUUUUGGUUUGCAUCUUAACCAUAUCUUUCUUUUCCCAUACAACGAUUGGAUACAUUGUCCUUAACUCUCCCGUCAUAACGAACUACGGAAAAUGGGAAUCAGACUGGAAUGAUUGUGACCCAAAUAUGUACGUGCGAGCUAUUGAUGUCCGUUCCACUCCGGAUGGUGGGGAAUUAAUACCAGAGCAAAAUGACGGCCCUGAUAAUGACGACAACCUCGGUAUGACCUCCAUCUCGCUAGAAUGUGCCGGUCUUUCCGAUCCAAACGGCAAGGCGGGCAAGAUCAUAGUAACCCCACGGGGCGGAACUGCAUCGGCAGCCGAAUUACCAACUGCCUGUGAAGGGUUCGCCAUCGGAUUCCAACUUUUGUCGGAUGACCCUCAAAUCGCACUGGAUAACACGGGUGCAAACAAUAUACGAAUCUAUUGUUCCGACAUGAAGGACAGUGCCACUCAGUAUGUGGAAGGUUACGGCGACUACACGGGACAAUGGACGGAUCCACAAUUUUGCAAGGAACGCCAAGCCAUUUGCGGAAUUAAGAGCCAAGUCCAAACUCGAGCUGGACCGGAUCAAACCGGAAUUAAUAACGUUCGUGUAAAAUGUUGCGAUAUUCCCAGCCCCGCGAAAACCUGCGUUCCAACGGAAAGAUGGGAGUUGGCCCAGGAAUGUGACAACGUCAAGGGCAAGCUGCCGAUUGAAUGCACUUUUUACAGAAGUGUGGGAAUCGGGAUGACCACAGCGUUAGAAUCGGAGGGUGCAAAUCUGAUGGAGGAAUUUUAUCGAGAUUCUGCCCUGGGAUUUGGAAUGAAUUCUGACUUAGGGGAAGCCCCUUUCUGGUUGACGUAUGAUUUAUCCAACAGAUUUGCGACAGUAUUGGACGACAGUGAAACAACUGGACAAAACUGGACAAAGGUGGACAUCGAGACUUGGGCUUUGGAGACGUCAACGGUGGUUAAAUUUAAUGUUAAGGAAGGUUACAGGGCGCGGGUUGAACAGAUGGUUGGAAGCUGUGGCUACUAUUCGGUUAAAACGCCACGACUUAAGCAUACCGAUUAUAAUUACACCCUUUUCCCAUUUGCUUGGAGGGAUGAUCCCUAGAUAUUAAUUUUGAGACAAGUUAAGGACAAAGUAAAAUUAUGCAUAAAAAAUAUAUUUGCGUGCCCUUUA